rnacentral:rRNA from 1 species
UGAGAAAUAUUGGUCAAUGGCCGCAAGGCUGAACCAGCGACGCCGCGUGGGCGAUGAAGGCUUUCGGGUCGUAAAGCCCUUUUCUGCGUGACGAGGAAGGACGGUAGCGCAGGAAGAAGCGUCGGCUAACUACGUGCCAGCAGCCGCGGUAAAACGUAGGACGCAAGCGUUAUCCGGAGUUACUGGGCGUAAAGGGCGUGUAGGCGGCGCUUCAAGUUCGUCGUGAAAGACCCCGGCUCAACCGGGGGAGGUCGAGGGAGACUGAGGCGCUGGAGGACGGUAGAGGGACAGGGAAUUCCGGGUGUAGUGGUGAAAUGCGUAGAGAUCCGGAGGAACACCAGUGGCGAAGGCGCUGUCCUGGGCCGUUACUGACGCUGAGGCGCGAAAGCCAGGGGAGCAAACGGGAUUAGAUACCCCGGUAGUCCUGGCCCUAAACGAUGAAUGCUUGGUGUGGCGGACUAAACCCUGCCGGUGCCGAAGCCAACGCGAUAAGUUAGCCGCCUGAGAACUACGGCCG